AUUGAACGCUGGCGGCAUGCUUUACACAUGCAAGUCGAACGGUAACAGGGUGCUUGCACCGCUGACGAGUGGCGAACGGGUGAGUAAUGCAUCGGAAUGUACCGUGUAAUGGGGGAUAGCUCGGCGAAAGCCGGAUUAAUACCGCAUACGCCCUGAGGGGGAAAGUGGGGGACCGAAAGGCCUCACGUUAUACGAGCAGCCGAUGUCUGAUUAGCUAGUUGGUGAGGUAAAGGCUCACCAAGGCGUCGAUCAGUAGCGGGUCUGAGAGGAUGAUCCGCCACACUGGGACUGAGACACGGCCCAGACUCCUACGGGAGGCAGCAGUGGGGAAUUUUGGACAAUGGGCGCAAGCCUGAUCCAGCCAUGCCGCGUGUCUGAAGAAGGCCUUCGGGUUGUAAGG
rnacentral:rRNA from 1 species